CACGGGAACAUCAAGUCAAGCAACAUCCUUCUCUCACAGGAACUCGACGCCUGCAUCACCGAGUUCGGCCUUGCCCAGCUCAUGUCCACGCCCCACGUCCACCCACUGCACACGGAAUGGCUUACCUUCACUCCGUGUGUCUCAAUCGAGGGGGAGUCACCAACGAACGACCCACAAUUGGAGUUUGAGCAGGACUAGAGAGGAGACGUCAGUUCUUCCUCCUCCGCUCAGUGCGACCAUUGUCCCUGUCCCCCAACUCUGAACUCUUAGAACAAUGAUGAUCACUGCCACUCCCCGCUCAUUUUUUCUGAAGGGGAAAUAUCCAUCUUCUUGUUGUUUUGUACUGUUGGAUACUUUAGCAUAUUUCUCAUACUACUAGGAGUGUAGGUAAG